rfam:Acyrthosiphon pisum strain LSR1 Contig906, whole genome shotgun sequence.
CGCCGGCUUUACCUGGUACACCGCGUGAACCGCGUGCGAAGCCGGCGACGGAACCCUAGGCGCUUAGUGGGCCAUUUUUGGUAAGCAGAACUGGCGCUGCGGGAUGAACCGAACGCCGAGUUAAGGCGCCGAAAUCGACGCGUAUUCAGAGACCAUGAAAGGCGUUGGUUGCUGAUGACAGCAGGACGGUGGCCAUGGAAGUCGGAAUCCGCUAAGGAGUGUGUAACAACUCACCUGCCGAAGCAACUAGCUCUGAAAAUGGAUGGCGCUGGAGCGUCGUGCCUAUACUCGGCCGUCGACGGCAUAGUGGGGCCAGUCGUCGCUCGCGGCGGCCGGUCCCGGCAAGCCUCGACGAGUAGGAUGGCGCGGCGGUGUGCGUCGAAGGGCAGGUCGCGAGACCGCCUGGAGCCGCCGUCGGUGCAGAUCUUGGUGGUAGUAGCAAAUACUCGAGAGGGGCCCUCGGGGGCUGCCGUGGAGAAGGGUUUCUUGUGAACAGCCGUUGUCCAAGAGUCAGUCGAUCCUAAGCCCGGGGAGAGAUCCUCGUACCACGGGCGAAGGCGUUUUCGAAUCGCCCUUGGGGCGAGAGGGAAUCCGGUUCGUAUUCCGGAACCCGACGCGGAACCGCUCCCUAGUGUUCGGGGCUCUUUUGUCUCGUCUGGGUAACCAGAAUGAACUCGAAGAAGCCGCCGGGGGAUCUGGGUAGAGUUCUCUUUUCUCUGUGAGCGUUGUACGUCCCUGGAAUCCUCUAGCCGGGCGAUAGGGACGCGAGCGCGAAGAGCACCGCUCGUUGCGGCGGUGUCCGUGAUCCCCACGCGGACCUUGAAAAUUCGAGAGAGGGCCACGCGGAGUCUUCGCGUCGGUUCGUACCGAUAUCCGCAGCAGGUCUCCGAGGUGAGCAGCCUCUAGCCGCAUAGAAUAAUGUAGGUAAGGGAAGUCGGCAAAACCGAUCCGUAACUUCGGGAUAAGGAUUGGCUCUGAGGAGCGUGGCUGCCGGGUUCGGGUCGUCGUAGAAGCGUAGGCGUUUUUGGCGACACCCCGGCCGUCGCCCGUGCGCCCGGUCUUCGGAACGGGAGCCUCGAGGCGGCCGCGGGCCCGUCGCCGUCCGCCGACCGUGGAACCACCGAGCUUCGGUCGCUGGCCGCGUCGCGGCCGGCCGACCGCCUUGGUGUCGGUUCGCCGUCACCGGGCGGUCCGGCCGCCGCGCCGUCGGUCGCGUAGCCGGAUCGACAGCCAUGUAACGGUCAACUCAGAACUGGCACGGACCAGGGGAAUCCGACUGUCUAAUUAAAACAAAGCAUCGCGAUGGCCCGGGACGGGUGUUGACGCGAUGUGAUUUCUGCCCAGUGCUCUGAAUGUCAACGUGAAGAAAUUCAAGCAAGCGCGGGUAAACGGCAGGAGUAACUAUGACUCUUUUAAGGUAGCCAAAUGCCUCGUCAUCUAAUUAGUGACGCGCAUGAAUGGAUUAACGAGAUUCUCACUGUCCCUAUCUACUAUCUAGCGAAACCACAGCCCAAGGAACGGGCUUGGAAAAAUCAGCGGGGAAAGAAGACCCUGUUGAGCUUGACUCUAAUCUGGCAUUGUUCGGAGACAUGCCGAGGUGUAGCAUACGUGGGAGACCCGGACCAAGGCGGGCGGUUUC